AAGUCGUAACAAGGUUUCCGUAGGUGAACCUGCGGAAGGAUCAUUAACACGUUCUAACACGUAUUAACCAACUGUGCAUAGAUCAUCUCCCUCCAACAUACACAGACGUGUAUGAACGAGGCUAAAUGAAGUCAUGGUACUUGCAUCUCUCUCUGUGUGUGUGUACUCAGUUUCGACUGUGUAUAUACAUAUCGAGAGACGAUGUCAAUUGCUAUGCACUUUACUUUUAUCACUUUUUUCACCCCUUGAUAUUACUACUUAGUUGACUUUUUUGAAUAGAGCUUGGAUUGAUUUCCUUGUCUCUUCUCAUUUACAUGUGUGAAUGUCAAAUACAACUCUUAGCAAUGGAUAUCUUGGUUCUC
rnacentral:misc_RNA from 1 species